ACUGCCCCCUAAAGAUGUUGCAGGUGUGGCUGUGGUGCCACAUGUGCAUCAGUAGGUGGCAGAGAGAAGAGGGGCUGUCUACACUCAGUGUUCUGACUUACGAACAAACACCAGAAUGACUUAUAGCCUAUCAUU